rnacentral:rRNA from 1 species
UACGUAGGAUGCAAGCGUUGUCCGGAAUUAUUGGGCGUAAAGAGCGCGCAGACGGUUAUGACAAGUCAGAUGUGAAAGAGGCCGGCUUAACCGGCAAGGGUCAUUUGAAACUGUCAGACUAGAGUGCAGCAGAGGAUAGUGGAAUUCCCGGUGUAGUGGUGAAAUGCGUAGAUAUCGGGAGGAACACCAGUGGCGAAGGCGACUAUCUGGGCUGCAACUGACGCUGAGGCGCGAAGGCUAGGGUAGCAAACAGG